UACGUAGGGGGCAAGCGUUAUCCGGAUUUACUGGGUGUAAAGGGGGCGCAGACGGCGAUGCAAGCCAGGAGUGAAAGCCCGGGGCCCAACCCCGGGACUGCUCUUGGAACUGCGUGGCUGGAGUGCAGGGGGGGCAGGCGGAAUUCCUGGUGUAGCGGUGAAAUGCGUAGAUAUCAGGAGGAACACCGGUGGCGAAGGCGGCCUGCUGGACUGCAACUGACGUUGAGGCCCGAAAGCGUGGGGAGCAAACAGG
rnacentral:rRNA from 1 species